UAACCCUACGGGGGGCAGCAGUAGGGAAUCUUCCACAAUGGGCGAAAGCCUGAUGGAGCAACGCCGCGUGGGUGAAGAAGGUCUUCGGAUCGUAAGACCCUGUUGUUGGAGAAGACAGUGCGUGAGAGUAACUGUUCACGUUUCGACGGUAUCUAACCAGAAAGCCACGGCUAACUACGUGCCAGCAGCCGCGGUAAUACGUAGGUGGCAAGCGUUAUCCGGAUUUAUUGGGCGUAAAGGGAACGCAGGCGGUCUUUUAAGUCUGAUGUGAAAGCCUUCGGCUUAACCGGAGUGGGGCAUUGGAG
rnacentral:rRNA from 1 species